rnacentral:rRNA from 1 species
UGGGGAAUAUUGCACAAUGGGCGCAAGCCUGAUGCAGCCAUGCCGCGUGUGUGAAGAAGGCCUUCGGGUUGUAAAGCACUUUCAGCGGGGAGGAAGGCGUUAAGGUUAAUAACCUUGGCGAUUGACGUUACCCGCAGAAGAAGCACCGGCUAACUCCGUGCCAGCAGCCGCGGUAAUACGGAGGGUGCAAGCGUUAAUCGGAAUUACUGGGCGUAAAGCGCACGCAGGCGGUCUGUCAAGUCGGAUGUGAAAUCCCCGGGCUCAACCUGGGAACUGCAUUCGAAACUGGCAGGCUAGAGUCUUGUAGAGGGGGGUAGAAUUCCAGGUGUAGCGGUGAAAUGCGUAGCGAUCUGGAGGAAUACCGGUGGCGAAGGCGGCCCCCUGGACAAAGACUGACGCUCAGGUGCGAAAGCGUGGGGAGCAAACAGG